CACAUGCAGUCGAGCGGUAGAGAGGUGCUUGCACCUCUUGAGAGCGGCGGACGGGUGAGUAAUACCUAGGAAUCUGCCUGAUAGUGGGGGAUAACGUUCGGAAACGGACGCUAAUACCGCAUACGUCCUACGGGAGAAAGCAGGGGACCUUCGGGCCUUGCGCUAUCAGAUGAGCCUAGGUCGGAUUAGCUAGUUGGUGAGGUAAUGGCUCACCAAGGCUACGAUCCGUAACUGGUCUGAGAGGAUGAUCAGUCACACUGGAACUGAGACACGGUCCAGACUCCUACGGGAGGCAGCAGUGGGGAAUAUUGGACAAUGGGCGAAAGCCUGAUCCAGCCAUGCCGCGUGUGUGAAGAAGGUCUUCGGAUUGUAAAGCACUUUAAGUUGGGAGGAAGGGCAUUAACCUAAUACGUUAGUGCUUUGACGUUACCGACAGAAUAAGCACCGGCUAACUCUGUGCCAGCAGCCGCGGUAAUACAGAGGGUGCAAGCGUUAAUCGGAAUUACUGGCGUAAAGCGCGCGUAGGUGGUUUGUUAAGUUGAAUGUGAAUCCCCGGCUCACCUGGGACUGCAUCCAACUGCAGCUAGAGUAUGUAGAGGG
rnacentral:rRNA from 1 species